rnacentral:rRNA from 1 species
AAGUGGAGCAAUCCAUGAGUAAAGUGGCGACCGGGUGAGUAACACGUGACUAACCUACCUUCGAGUGGGGGAUAACAUCGGGAAACCGAUGCUAAUACCGCAUAACAUCGCAAGAUCAAAGGAGCAAUCCGCUUGAGGAGGGGGUCGCGGCUGAUUAGCUAGUUGGCGGGGUAACGGCCCACCAAGGCGAAGAUCGGUAGCCGGCCUGAGAGGGCGCACGGCCACACUGGAACUGAAACACGGUCCAGACUCCUACGGGAGGCAGCAGUGGGGAAUUUUGCGCAAUGGGGGAAACCCUGACGCAGCAACGCCGCGUGGAGGAUGAAGCCCCUUGGG